AUGUCAUCAACCGAGAAAACCAAUGCUGCCGGCGGCGACAAGCUAAGCAUGAAGCUGCUGGUGAACAGCAAGUCCCAGCGCGUGCUGUACGCCGAGGCUGGGAAGGACGUCGUGGACUUCCUAUUCUCCCUCCUCACGCUGCCGCUGGGCACGGUGGCCAAGCUGAUCGCCGACGACAGCCCCGCGGCCGGCUCCGUGGUCAACCUCUACAGCAGCGUCGACAAGCUCGACGACACCUACAUCUGCCGCGACAACGCCAAGGACGCCCUGCUCAGGCCCGCCGGCGGCUGCGAGAGCGGGAAGCUGCUCCAGCUUCCGGAGGCAAAGGCGCCGCAAACCACACUGCAAAUCUUCCGCUGCAUCGGCACCUACGUACCCAACUGCAGGAGCUACGUGACCAUGGUAAGUGGGACGACGUGUGGAAGCUGCGGCGCAAGGAUGACGACUCAGGCGCAGCUUGUUGGCUCCGUCGGCGGCGCUGGGUCGCCUGCUGCGGCGGCAGGGGCCGCCGGGUUUGUGCAGCGGAUCGUGACGUACACGGUGAUGGAUGACCUCAAGAUCGCGCCCAUGUCGACCAUCUCCGGGAUCACCAUCCUCAACACCUUUGGCAUCACGGACAUCGGCUCGCUCCAGGAGAAGACCGUGCAGCUUUGCUACGCCGAGGUUUGGAGAUGCUGA
rnacentral:rRNA from 1 species